rnacentral:lncRNA from 1 species
AGGUCUCCCACCAGGCAGGGUGGGGGACUGUGAUGGCGGCCCACACUUGCUUUCUGACGACGACUGGAGUGUAAAAGCUGAGACUCUUGGGGGAUGUCCUAUCUGCUUUCCAGGCCCCCCCCACCACCACCACCACAACGUCCCUGGAUGCCAGCCCCUUCACACUUCUGGACUGGGCUUCUGCUCCAGAGAUGAACUUGCAGGACGCUGGACCAGCCCAUAGCACAUCAUUUGCUCUUUGAAACUUUGGACACUUUUCAAGAGCUGUUUAAUUGCCGUGGCGGUAUCUUCACGUAACUGUUAAACUGUCCCACCUGAAUUCAUUUACUUUGGGUGUUGGCCUUGAACGGCACCCUCUGGUGGAGACGGCAUCUAUUGUGGUUUGAAGUAACGGCUAGCAAUUGGGUGAAAGGUCUCAGGAAAGGCCGCUGACCUAGACGUGGGGGGGAAGACGAGAGAGCAUGUCUGGGCGCCCCUUGGCCCCUGCAAACAGAAGGUGGGAACUCCUUGAAGUGGAGCUGCACGGGGGCCAAGGGCAGCCACCCUGAAACGGCAUGGAUGGUGUCUUAGGACCUUUGGUUAGAUUGCCUGCAAGACUUGCUCUACUUUGUGAAGCUGCCAGGACCGCCCCCGCCCUUCACUCCGUUCCUCAGUGGCGGGACACAGUGGCUUUCAGUUGGGGCUGCUAAGUCUACGCCCAGUUAGGUAGCAAGGGGUAACACGCCGUCUCUGGAGGUCAGGGUAGGACUAAGCAGUAGGUGAACUCUCAGGACAGGAAGAGGUCGAGGGACUUCCAGUGGGUUGGAGUAAAGCACAGGGAGCGUGUGGUGCUUUCAGGAACCCUAGAGGGGCGGAGGGCUUUCUGUAGGGCAGUCGUAGGGUAAAAGGUCAUUAGAACCUUUUUUAAAUAUGAAAGAAUUAUUCUAAGAUCAAGGAGGAAAAAAGUUGACGCGGACGAUAACUGCUGGAGUGUGUGAAUUUACACACGGAUGACCACCAAGUAUACACGCUAGAGUCACCUAGACAGCUCUGAUGCUCACUGGGUGUUCAUCCAUGGGAAUGAAUGGCGGCAGCCCACCACUCAUAAUGCUUUGACACGAGCAGCCUCAAAUGGCACUUUGGGGAACUCCCACUUGCCCCGGGAGUUAUGAGGAAUAUCUGGAAAACUUAGAUCGUUUUCUCUUACGCUAGCCUCAGUGUGUGCGUGACUUCACAACACAGGGGCCCUCCGGGAUUUGAAGGUUGCUGUUUCUUCAUCUUUCUUGACAGCCUUAUAGACGUAUAAUUGGCGGACAAGAAACUGCACGUAUUUACAUUGUACAAUUGGGUGAGUUUUGACGGGUAUCCACCCGUGAAACCAUCACAGCAAUGAAGACGGGAAACGUACGCCCAUCACCCUGGAGAGUUGCCUUGUCCCCCGGGUGCGCCCUCCUUCCUGCCCCUUCCUCCCCCCACCCCGUCCCCACAACCACUGCCCUUUCUGUCAGUACGCAUUCGUUUGCCUUUCCUAGAAUUCUGUGUUAAUGCACUCUUCUCGCCUGGCCUCUUAGUAUAAUGAUUUUGAAGUUCAUCCUGAGUACUAUUCCAUCGUGUGGAUGGACCACAACGCCUGUUGAUGGACAUUUGGGUUGUUUCCAGGUUUUGGCCUUCACAAAUAAAGCUGCUGUG